rnacentral:rRNA from 1 species
UACGUAGGGGGCAAGCGUUGUCCGGAAUUAUUGGGCGUAAAGAGCACGUAGGCGGUAAUAUAAGCUGGAUGUGAAAGGCUACGGCUCAACCGUAGAGCUGCAUCCAAAACUGUAUCAAUUGAGUGCAGAAGAGGAGAGUGGAAUUCCCGGUGUAGCGGUGGAAUGCGUAGAUAUCGGGAGGAACACCAGUGGCGAAGGCGACUCUCUGGUCUGUAACUGACGCUGAGGGGCGAAAGCGUGGGGAGCGAACAGG